CAAGUCGAACGCGGUUUCCUCGCAAGGGGAAACUGAGUGGCGAACGGGUGAGUAACACGUGGGUGACCUACCUUCGAGUGGGGGAUAACGUCCCGAAAGGGACGCUAAUACCGCAUAACAUCCUGUCCUUGAACGGAUGGAGAUCAAAGCUGGGGAUCGUAAGACCUGGCGCUUGAUGAGGGGCCCGCGUCCGAUUAGCUAGUUGGUGAGGUAAUGGCUCACCAAGGCAACGAUCGGUAGCCGGCCUGAGAGGGCGGACGGCCACACUGGGACUGAGGCACGGCCCAGACUCCUACGGGAGGCAGCAGUGGGGAAUUGUUCGCAAUGGGCGCAAGCCUGACGACGCAACGCCGCGUGGAGGAUGAAGGUCUUCGGAUUGUAAACUCCUGUUGCUCGGGACGAAUGACUGCGACCUAACACGUCGCAGUGUGACGGUACCGGGUGAGGAAGCCCCGGCUAACUCUGUGCCAGCAGCCGCGGUAAUACAGAGGGGGCAAGCGUUGUUCGGAAUUACUGGGCGUAAAGGGCGCGUAGGCGGCCUGUUAAGUCGAACGUGAAAUCCCCGGGCUCAACCCGGGAACUGCGUCCGAUACUGGCAGGCUUGAAUCCGGGAGAGGGAUGCGGAAUUCCAGGUGUAGCGGUGAAAUGCGUAGAUAUCUGGAGGAACACCGGUGGCGAAGGCGGCAUCCUGGACCGGCAUUGACGCUGAGGCGCGAAAGCCAGGGGAGCAAACGGGAUUAGAUACCCCGGUAGUCCUGGCCCUAAACGAUGAAUGCUUGGUGUGGCGGGUAUCGAUCCCUGCCGUGCCGAAGCUAACGCAUUAAGCAUUC
rnacentral:rRNA from 1 species